GAUUUCUGGCUUGAACCUGUCGUCCGGCCACGGUUUCGUGCGUCAGUGUCGGCUGGUCUGGCCAUCCUUCCGUGUGCCGUUGCGCUCUCUUCAUUGAUUGUGCAACGGUCGCGGAUCGUUUACUUUGAAAAAAUUAGAGUGUUUCAAGCAGGCGUUUGCUAUGAAUACAUUAGCAUGGAAUAAUGAUUUAGGACUUCGGUUCUAUUUUGUUGGUUUCUAGGACUGAAGUAAUGAUUGAUAGGGAUAGUUGGGGGUGCUAGUAUUCAGCGGCCAGAGGUGAAAUUCUUGGAUUCGCUGAAGACUAACUUAUGCGAAAGCAUU
rnacentral:rRNA from 1 species